rnacentral:rRNA from 1 species
UCGAGAAUUUUUGACAAUGGGGGAAACCCUGAUCGAGCGACGCCGCGUGGAGGAUGAAGGUCUUCGGAUUGUAAACUCCUGUCAUUGGGGAACAAGGUGCAUACGUUAACUGCGUGUGCAUUGAUAGUACCCGAAGAGGAAGAGACGGCUAACUCUGUGCCAGCAGCCGCGGUAAUACAGAGGUCUCAAGCGUUGUUCGGAUUCAUUGGGCGUAAAGGGUGCGUAGGCGGCGCGGUAAGUCGGGUGUGAAAUCUCGGAGCUUAACUCCGAAACUGCAUUCGAUACUGCCGUGCUUGAGGACUGGAGAGGAGACUGGAAUUUACGGUGUAGCGGUGAAAUGCGUAGAUAUCGUAAGGAAGACCAGUGGCGAAGGCGGGUCUCUGGACAGUUCCUGACGCUGAGAUGCGAAAGCGUGGGGAGCAAACA